rnacentral:rRNA from 1 species
CGUACACUCCUACGGGAGGCAGCAGUGGGGAAUAUUGGACAAUGGGCGCAAGCCUGAUCCAGCCAUGCCGCGUGAGUGAUGAAGGCCCUAGGGUUGUAAAGCUCUUUCACCGGAGAAGAUAAUGACGGUAUCCGGAGAAGAAGCCCCGGCUAACUUCGUGCCAGCAGCCGCGGUAAUACGAAGGGGGCUAGCGUUGUUCGGAAUUACUGGGCGUAAAGCGCACGUAGGCGGAUCGAUCAGUCAGGGGUGAAAUCCCAGGGCUCAACCCUGGAACUGCCUUUGAUACUGUCGAUCUGGAGUAUGGAAGAGGUGAGUGGAAUUCCGAGUGUAGAGGUGAAAUUCGUAGAUAUUCGGAGGAACACCAGUGGCGAAGGCGGCUCACUGGUCCAUUACUGACGCUGAGGUGCGAAAGCGUGGGGAGCAAACAGGAGUAGAUACCCCAGUAGUCCCAUG